rnacentral:sRNA from 1 species
AGCUGGUUGAGCAGCGGAUCCGCAGCUUCCCCGACUUCCCCACCCCAGGCGUGGUAUUCAGGUGCACGCACAGGCCGCCCUCGUGGCGCCCCGACCUGCGGGCCUACGGAUGGGAGCGCGUUGCCCGCGACCUCGGGGUGGGCGGGGCGGGAACCGUCGUCCUUCGCCCCCGGGGCCCUGCCCUCCUUCGGCCCCGGCGUCACCAGGCCUGUCUUUGCGUCCAGGGACAUCUCGCCCGUCCUGAAGGACCCCGCCUCCUUCCGCGCCGCCAUCGGCCUCCUGGCGCGACACCUGAAGGCGACCCACGGGGGCCGCAUCGACUACAUCGCAGGCUGAGCUGGAGAUCCAGAAAGACGCCCUGGAGCCAGGACAGAGGGUGGUCGUGGUGGAUGAUCUGCUGGCCACUGGUGGAACCAUGAACGCCGCCUGUGAGCUGCUGGGGCACCUGCAGGCUGAGGUCCUGGAGUGCAUGAGCCUGGUGGAGCUGACCUCGCUUAAGGGCAGGGAGAAGCUGG